CAUUUUUAUUUUUUCUAGAGAGGGGGUCUCGCUAUGUUGCCCAGUGGUCACGAGUCUUGGCAAGAAAGUCUGAAGACGGGACCAGCUGCACAUGUUUUACCCUAAGAGCUUGCUAUAUAAAGGAUACUUUCUGGAA